CAAUGAGCUGUCUCCUUGCCAACCAGCAGCUCCCUUGGUAGGGGCAUGCAGAAGACCUGAUGACACAAACCCUCCAAAGAGUUUCACCCUCACCACAACAGGUGGCUUCCUGCUCGGCAGCCCAUCCUGCAUCACUUCAGUGGACUUCUCUGACAUCUACUAGACCACAUUAAAUGAAUCACAGCCUUGAAACUGAACUGGAAGGACUUCCUUCAAGAUUUUUAUCUAAUUCCUGUUGGACAGUGUAAAAUGCCACUUCUUCCAGGGUUGCCUGCAUAUCAUCAAAAGGGAAAUAGUACUCAUCGAAGAUGUGCCUUUGCUAGGAACUAGGACAAGGGUGGCCUUUAUAAAUUCAUGAAGAGAAGGAGCCAGCAUAUGAACUUGCUGCCUAUCUUUAGCAAGGAGAUGCAAAUGACAUCCACAAACCUCUUCUGCUGUAUACCUGGAUGAAAGCAAGGCUAGCUGUGUGUCCUAUGGCACCAAGGACUGAAAGAUUGUAAGAAGUAAGAUGACCUACAUCCAAAGUGAAAAGUUAUUCAGCCUCUGAAGAGAAGCAUUUUGUUUGGGGAUCUUCAAGUAUGCUUGUCAGCACCGAGAACUGGAAAAAAAUCUCUGAUUGUCCUGCAGCAAUGGCAUUAAAGGCUCCUCAUAACAUACAGAACCAGAAUUGUGCCAUAAUUUACUGAAAUUGAACAUUGCUCUGUGACUGCUAAUUUUCCAUCGAGAUGAUUCUGUCUCUAACCAAGAAAAGAAAAGUUUGUCUUCCUGACUGCUGACACUGCUGACCAAGCCCACCACCAGAUGCCUGGCUGCACACCCAGAGGGCAGCCGCUUCCCGUGGUCCUCUCGAAGAACUUCCCUUUUGCAAUGCAUGUUUAGCAAGUGGAUGAGUUUGUCUUUUCUGAUUUCUCUGCAAGCUCUGCAUUGCCCACCUGAACCAGUGCUUCAGAAGAACUAAUGGGAUCUCUGACCCUCCAACAUCCUCUUCCAGACUUUCACUUUCCUGGCUCCUUGCAGGGACAUGUAAUAAACGUGCUCUCCAGAGA
rnacentral:lncRNA from 1 species